rnacentral:snoRNA from 1 species
CUGCAAACAAGAUCACUGGCCCAGCACGCUGUUGCUGAAGCAAGGGGGAACAUGUUUGCUAGAAUAACUAUCAUGACGGAAGCGAUGGGCCAUGUGCUCGUGUCUUGUGUCCCCAACUUCUUACUGAUGACAUGG